AGCCGUGCCAGCCGUGCCCAGGCCGCUAUACUCGCCCCUCUGCCAAGGAAUGUCUUUAUUGGUUGCCAGGCUCGCCAAUACAACUUGCGAGUUAAAAAGCGCUGGUUUCCAGGAAAAGUACUUCUGGUUUUUAACCUCCCCCUUGCUGUCCAGCUAUCGAUGUGUUCAACCUCCAAGGAGCAGCUUGGUUCUGGUAAACCUGGUAAAUGUGGUAAAAACGUUCUGGUAAACCCAGAGGCAGAUGCUUUUACAGAGUGGCCGCAGAGAUGUGUAAAUUUACACACACGCAUAAACACACACACACACAGCUACAUGCAGUCACGGUUUUCAAGGCAUUUUAAAGGUUUUACAAGGCAUUUAUGGUUAUUAUGUACAAUCACACCGAAGAACUAGUCUCCUCUAAGGCUCCUAGGAGCUAUAGUAAUAUAAGCAAUAAAACUUAGGUAUCUGCAUAUGUGCUUUUAUGAAGCCACAGAUGCUCUCUUUGCAGUUAUUUGCGCACUGCUGGGAGUAACCCAUGCUUGUUGACGUACAGAAAACAAUGCCUCACUCUGCAAAAAGCAAAGUACAAUAAAAAGAGAAAGUGAAAGAAUAGUUUAAAAAGUAGAGCUCUCAAGAUGUAACUGUUAUUUUCCACAGACCACAGGGAAUGCACAAAAGAGAUGGUGUUUUAAAUAUACCUUGUGUAACAAACACUUGAAACUCACAGCUGUGGGAGUUCCAUGGGCUGUGACCCCAGGCAAGCCCCAUUUUCUAGUAGGUCUCUGCCCACUAUGACAGUAUGACUUUCAAUGUCUCCCCAAAAAGUGUCCCUCCUUUGAACAAAGCAAAACAAAGCUUUCAGACUUUCUUUUUAACCAGAUGGCAUUAACCCCCUUCAUUAGACCUCUGUGUGUUGGAUGCAUGGCUCCAGCAUGUCACCACCUCACCUGCUCAGCUCACGCCCCAACUCCUGCCCCAGUGAGACUGGCUGGCCAACUAUGAUGGUAACACAUCUAAUGUUUGCAUAGGAGGAUGGCAUCAACCAAGCCAGGCAAGGUCAGCUCCCCCAUUUUGCAAAGCAGAAGAGAUUGCCAGACUGCAUUCAAUAGCAGAUGACCAAUUCAGAGGUGCUGCAUUUGACAAAUACAAGUACAGAGCCUUUUGGAGAGGUGCCGUGUGACAGGGAGGCUGUCGGAGGCAGAAAUGUUUGCAUGGGAUGGAGACUGCAACUACCGUAACUGUCCCUGUGGCAAGAACACCCACAGAAACAGGUCUCAACUCUGGCCAGAUCUUCGUGAUUUUUGGAUGGCGUGACUUGAAGUGGCACUUUUUGGCAGGAAUCACAUAGCGUUUUAUACUAUUGCCUCCCUCCUUGUUACUCAGGCCUUGAGCUUGAAGGUCUAAAACACAGGUUCUGGAACAAAAAAAAUACAGACAGCAAGACUUCCAAACACUGGCCCUUUAGAAAGCUCUGAGCUGAACCUGCCAAAUGUGCUGAGUGAAGGAGAGAAGGUUGUAAGUCUUACAUCCAUAUAUGUUGUUCUUAAUAUUCACCAUGGGCACACCUAAAGCUGGAACAACACUUCUGGAUAGGAGAGAGCUCUGCAAAAGGAGGUUGCAGUGAUAGUGAUAGCCAGCCCGGGCCAUGGGAAUAGUUUCAUGUCUCUCCCAUGCAUCUGUUUCCCUCCAGAGGCUGGGCAUGUCUUGCAUCUACACAAUAAGGGAAGGAAUGUGAGCCCUCCACCACACCUCUAGCUUUCAACAUUUGCUGAGCCUGUUUGUCUAUUUUGGUUUUGGUUUUUUUUGUUUUGUUUUCACCUGUGACUUUUGAGAUUGUAAUCUCAGCAGGGUAGGGACUGCCUUGUGUUCUAGAUUUGUACACUGACUGUGCCUGGGAUCUUGAGCUGAUGUGCUAAUAAUGAAUAAGCAUAAUUUUCUUGGGGGGUACUCUUCAAGGAUUCAUCUGGAACAGAUUUGACUAAGGAUAAAAUAGACC